GACAGAGGAUGCAAGCGUUAUCCGGAAUUAUUGGGCGUAAAGAGCUCGUAGGCGGCUUGUCGCGUCGAAUGUGAAAUCCCGAGGCUCAACUUCGGGCUUGCAUUCGAUACGGGCAGGCUAGAGUUCGGUAGGGGAGACUGGAAUUCCUGGUGUAGCGGUGAAAUGCGCAGAUAUCAGGAGGAACACCGAUGGCGAAGGCAGGUCUCUGGGCCGAUACUGACACUGAGGAGCGAAAGCGUGGGGAGCGAACAGG
rnacentral:rRNA from 1 species